rnacentral:misc_RNA from 1 species
GUAUAUUUUGAUACAUUUCCCCUCAACCAUCGCAAUCAAUGGCAUAUUGGAAUAUCAGGCAAACACUUUUUCAUUUCCCCCCGCAUACACAUAUUAGUUGCGAUCGUUUGUUUGAAGAAGCAGAGAAUGAGUGGGAGAGAGAGAGAGAGAGAGAGAAAGCACGCUAGCUGCAAAAGCAACCAGCCUCCUCUCUCUCCUCUCCUCCCCUCCCCCCCCCAAACUCCACAACUUGUGAAAGUUGUUUUCCUAUAAUGAUCCCUCCGCAGGUUCACCUACGGAGA